AUUCAACGGACGAGUCCCAAAUAGAACAAAACGAAAGUCCUGGAU
rnacentral:hammerhead_ribozyme from 1 species